rnacentral:rRNA from 1 species
GAUGAACGCUGGCGGCGUGCCUAAUACAUGCAAGUCGAGCGAACGGACGAGAAGCUUGCUUCUCUGAUGUUAGCGGCGGACGGGUGAGUAACACGUGGUUAACCUACCUAUAAGACUGGGAUAACUUCGGGAAACCGGAGCUAAUACCGGAUAAUAUUUUGAACCGCAUGGUUCAAAAGUGAAAGACGGUCUUGCUGUCACUUAUAGCUGGAUCCGCGCUGCAUUAGCUAGUUGGUAAGGUAACGGCUUACCAAGGCAACGAUGCAUAGCCGACCUGAGAGGGUGAUCGGCCACACUGGAACUGAGACACGGUCCAGACUCCUACGGGAGGCAGCAGUAGGGAAUCUUCCGCAAUGGGCGAAAGCCUGACGGAGCAACGCCGCGUGAGUGAUGAAGGUCUUCGGAUCGUAAAACUCUGUUAUUAGGGAAGAACAUAUGUGUAAGUAACUGUGCACAUCUUGACGGUACCUAAUCAGAAAGCCACGGCUAACUACGUG